GAUGAACGCUGGCGGCGUGCCUAAUACAUGCAAGUCGAGCGGACGGACGAGAAGCUUGCUUCUCUGAUGUUAGCGGCGGACGGGUGAGUAACACGUGGAUAACCUACCUAUAAGACUGGGAUAACUUCGGGAAACCGGAGCUAAUACCGGAUAAUAUUUUGAACCGCACGGUUCAAAAGUGAAAGACGGUCUUGCUGUCACGUAUAGAUGGAUCCGAGCUGCAUUAGCUAGUUGGUGAGGUAACGGCUUACCAAGGCAACGAUGCAUAGCCGACCUGAGAGGGUGAUCGGCCACACGGGAACUGAGACACGGUCCAUACUCCUACGGGAGGCAGCAGUAGGGAAUCUUCCGCAAUGGGCGAAAGCCUGACGGAGCAACGCCGCGUGAGUGAUGAAGGUCUUCGGAUCGUAAAACUCUGUUAUUAGGGAAGAACAUAUGUGUAAGUAACUGUGCACAUCUUGACGGUACCUAAUCAGAAAGCCACGGCUAACUACGUG
rnacentral:rRNA from 1 species